ACGAACGCUGGCGGCGUGCCUAACACAUGCAAGUCGCACGAGAAAUCCUGGGCAACCGGGAAAGUAAAGUGGCGCACGGGUGAGUAACGCGUGGGUAACCUGCCCUUGAGUUGGGGAUAACCCCGCGAAAGCGGGGCUAAUACCGAAUAAUAUGUCAGUCUCUAUGGGGAUUGAAAUCAAAGGUAGCCUCUGCAUGCAAGCUAUUGCUCAAGGAUGGGCCCGCGUACCAUUAGCUUGUUGGUAGGGUAAUGGCCUACCAAGGCAACGAUGGUUAGCUG
rnacentral:rRNA from 1 species